AUUAUCCCCAAAGAUCUUCCCCUUCGUCUUCCCCUUUGGGGAACCCCUUCGUUUUCUUCCCCAAAGGGGAACCCCCUUCUUCAUCCCCUUUAGUUCCCCUAAAGGGGAUGAACUAAAGGGGACUCCGUCCCCUUUAGUUCCCCGUAGGGGAUGAAGAAGGGGAACACCCCUUCGUUUUCUUCCCCUUUGGUUCAUCCCCUUUAGGGGAACUAAAGGGGACGAACCCCUUCUUCCCCUUUAGGGGACUCCGUCCCCUUUAGGGGAAGAAGAAGAACACACCCCUUCUUCCCCUUUAGUUCCCCUUUAGGGGAUGAAGUCUUCCCCUAAAGGGGAACUAAAGGAGUUCUUCCCCUAAAGGGGAACUUUAGUUCAUCCCCUAAAGGGGAACUUUAGUUCCCCUUUAGGGGAAGAAGAAGAACACCAAAGUCUUCCCCUUCGUUUUCUUCCCCUUUAGGGGACGAACACUAAAGGGGACAAGAAGGGGAACCAAAGGGUGACCAAAGAAGACAACCAAGUCAAAAAGGGGAAGGGCUCUAAGAGUAGGGGUUCGUCUUCCCCAAAGGGGAACCNCCUUCGUCUCCCCUUUGGGGAACACUAAAGGGGAACAAAGAAGACUUCCCCUUCUUGUUCUUCUUCUUCUUCUUCUUCUUCCCCUUUA
rnacentral:lncRNA from 1 species